rnacentral:rRNA from 1 species
UACGUAGGGGGCAAGCGUUGUCCGGAUUUAUUGGGCGUAAAGAGCGUGUAGGCGGUUUGGUAGGUCCGUUGUGAAAACUCGAGGCUCAACCUCGAGACGCCGAUGGAAACCAUCAGACUAGAGUCCGGAAGAGGAGAGUGGAAUUCCUGGUGUAGCGGUGAAAUGCGCAGAUAUCGGGAAGAACACCUAUGGCGAAGGCAGCUCUCUGGGACGGUACUGACGCUGAGACGCGAAAGCGUGGGGAGCGAACAGG